rnacentral:rRNA from 1 species
CCUACGGGGUGCUGCAGUGGGGAAUAUUGCACAAUGGGGGAAACCCUGAUGCAGCAACGCCGCGUGAGUGAUGACGGCCGUCGGGUUGUAAAGCUCUGUCUUCAGGGACGAUAAUGACGGUACCUGAGGAGGAAGCCACGGCUAACUACGUGCCAGCAGCCGCGGUAAUACGUAGGGAGCAAGCGUUGUCCGGAAUUACUGGGCGUAAAGGGCGCGUAGGUGGGCGCUUAAGUCAGGUGUGAAAACUCCGGGCUCAACCUGGAGACUGCACUUGAAACUGGGUGUCUUGAGGGCAGGAGAGGAAAGUGGAAUUCCUAGUGUAGCGGUGAAAUGCGUAGAUAUUAGGAGGAACACCAGUGGCGAAGGCGACUUUCUGGACUGUACCUGACGCUGAGGCGCGAAAGCGUGGGUAGCGAACGGGAUUAGAUACCCUUGUAGUC